AGUGUAGAAUUCAACCAUCUACCUCGUGUUUACGUGAUGUGUUCCAUAGCAGCCAGCAUCAGCGCUGUUUGGACUUGCCAGCACUGGGCAGAGGAAGUAGGGUGCACAAACAAGGUUCAGCUCAGCUUACUAAUUGCAGUAAGUACCUAAAAUAUCUUUCAGAAGACUAUUAAAAGAAGUCUGUGUGAUAAAAGAUGUUAGAGAAGUAUUUAUGUCAAAACAGCGUUGUAAGGCAGCUCAGUGAGAGCGCAGAUGUUUGAAAACAAGUGUUUGCAGUAGGCAGUGAUUACCACGUAUUUUUAUUUGUGUGUUUCUCUGUCAUUGAUGGCUGUUGAUAUAAAAUGCUCUCUUGCAGUAAGUUCAAAGCCAACCACCUACCUACUAAUUUUGUAAUGCAUUUACUGUUAAUCCUCUCCAUAGCCCUCCCUUUGUAGUUAUCUUCUAUAUGAAACUAUAUUUACUGGAAUUUGUACAGACCUUGAUCUUCAACUGACUUCAACGAUGCCAUCACAUAACUGAAAAUAAAUAGAUUUUAGCGCAGCUCCCCUAUACUCCAAAUGGAUCAUUUGUAUGUUCUGAUAAUGGAUUAUGCUACACUAUUAACAUUUAACGUAAAGAAAGUAAUCCUAAGUAACCAAAAUCGUAACAAUGGGUUACUUGUAUUGUUUCACAAUGAAACUAUGGAAGUGCCAUCAGAAUGGAAGGCUCUGUGACUAGUGGCAACUACCUGCUGCCUGGAAACUGCCUGUUGUGCUUCCCAGACAGCUCAGCUGGGAUCUCUAUAAGAACCUGGAGCUCUCCAAUGCCUUCACAUCAUGCAUGGCAACAGCAGUUGAGCAGCACAGAGGACCAUGGAACAUGUGGCUCUGGGCAACCUGGUCUAGUGGUUGGUGACCCUGCCCAGGGCAGAAGAGUUGAAACUAGAUUGUCUUUGAGGUCCUUUUCAACCCAGGCCAUUCUAUGAUUCUAAGAUCAAGCACUUCUGGCCACAGCGUAAGGCAUCGGGCUACACGUGCCACUUCUAUCUGAAAUGCUGAUCUGCAUGUCUUAUACAGCCCUCAGAGCAACACGGAACCAUGUAAGAAGAAAAGGGGGGGCUUUAUUUGCUCAUUAUGAGUGUAGAGUUCAUGAUUCUGAAAGAUGCCAGAGUUAUUAUGUAAAUAGCCUACAUAUCUGCAAUGCCUGUCUUAGGCAGUAUUGCUCACAGAACCUUGUUUCAACUUAAAACAGAAAUCAUUUUUAGUGGUGAAAAUACCUCAGAGUGUGGCACUCCUUUCUGGGUUGAGACAUGGAGACGUCUGAGGAGGUAGCUAAGUCUGACAAUAGAUUGGAAUAUUAGCUUCUUGAUUAGCAGUACCAAUCCAUUUCAUAAAGAUUACUCACCGGUUUGAAACCAAUUCAACAGAAUGUAAUACACAGGGAUAACUUUUCUGCAGAUGCUUUGAUCUCUGAUAGUAUUUUCCAGUGAUUCAGCCAAGCAUUUUGAGACAAGGGGAAACUACGGUUAGGUCACCUAAUGGCUGUGGUUUUGCUUUUAGUGAAAAACUCUGCCUGAAAAAGAAUAAGAAAACAUCUCUGGAAGACAGCUUGAUGUGCUGUGGGACCUGGGACUUAUAAAUACCUUAAUUAAGCUGAAAUGGAUACUGUGUCACAAUGGGGUAGAGCUGUGGGACAUAAAUAACCUGAUCUCUGAGAAGAAUAUCGAGUGCAUUUUUGUGAUGCUUUGUCUCACUUCUUGUGGUAGUCACCAGGAUCUCUCCAUCAUCACAGAACAAAUCUGCAGCUUCACAGACACAUCUUGAGUAAUCCUGACUUGAGCUAUUUGGGGAGAAAGAUGAAAUGCUUAUAGUUUGUUUAUGUUGUGAAGAGUUCCUGAGGAAUGUCAGAAGAAAAUUGUCCUAAUAGUUGUCUAUCCUUUUUUUUUUUUUCCCUUGAAUUACUCAUUGAACACUCGUAGUUUGUUGUGGGGUUGGGUUUUUUUGGUUGGCUGUCAGCAGUAGUACUUUGAAAGCCAUCUUUUUUUUCAUAAUUAAAAGCUUCUUUUUCUUUUUUUUCAAUGACACAGUUGAACAAACAAUUGGAUGAAUGGUUGCUCCUGGCUGAAGAGCUCUCACAGGGGAGCAGGAAUGGCACUCUGCAUUGCCUGCUGGGGCUUCUGCUCCUAGCCCUCAUCAGUCUGUCUUGAAUCAUUAUGAUUUGCAGAGCAUCAUUUGAAAGGAAUCUGAAAUAGGUUUUCACAUGCUGAUCACAUCUCUGAGAGCUUCAUAUGUCUCUGCAUCAGUUGAGUGUUUUUAAAAAACAGAGAAGCUCCACAGAUCUGUCACCCCAGCCUGCAAUAAGAGGCCGUCAAAAGCUGAUGAAGAGUGCAUCUCUUCUUACUGUAACAGUAUGUCCUAAAAUAGGCUCUGGUGUUCCAAUGCGCAGAAGGUGAAGGAUGGCAUAUAAACAAUUGCUUGUUUACUUUUCCCACAUUCGGGAACUAGAGUCAAUUCAGCACAGAGAUUCCACAGAAACACUUCGGAUCAGGGUAAUGGGAGCUGGAAACAAAGUUUUGAAUUUGCUUAGAAGCAAUGUGUUUCUUCCUCAAAAUAAAUUGAUGCCUUAAUCAAGUAGCAAGGUGCUUUAAGAAUCACAGGGAAUGGAAAAGGCAGCUUUCCAGGCUUGCUGAGGAGAGGGGAGGCUGAUCGCCCUGAGGCUGCUGCUCAGUUGUCCCUGUGGCAGAGGGCAAAGAGGAUGGUCUGCUGGCACAAAAGGAGCCCCUGCUGGAGCCAAGAGAUCUCUGCUGUGCCUUGUUCUAUGGAAGGGUCACUAGGCCACGUGUCUCUGUUCCUGUUAAAGCACCUUUACGGAUAGGCAUAAGUCCUUCUGCUAUUUGCUGCCAUUCUUUUUUGAAAUAGAGCAGUAUUUCAGAAGAAAGCAGUCCUACUGAUCUUGUUCAGAAAUAUAAAGGCAGUAUUGUGAGUAUGUAGUGCUACUCCAUCAGGCUUUGGGGCAGUGUAGGCUUAGAGCUUAUCAGCAUAAUCUUUGUCCUUCUCUGCUGUCUGGGUUUGGUUCUUCAUUGCUCAGGAGCCUCAGGAUCGCUCAGGUUGUAGCAUGGGGAAGCCCCCAGUUGUAGAUCCGUGCAGUCACUCCAUCAGCCUGCGCUAUCAGGCGCAGCAUCUCAGCAAUACCAUGUUUGUACAGCACACAUGCCCUGCAUGCACCUACAAGCCUGCUUUAUCACUGCUAAGUCUCUGCUGUGAAAGUAGAUUUCUGCUGGUGGAGCUGCCCUGCCAGGCAGGGAGGUGUGCUGACUGCUCUGUCCUGUCCUGUGCUGUUGUGCUGGGAGAGACAGACCGGGAGCCGGGCUCGUGGAGCAUACUGAGACAUGCAGGUCCCAAGUUCUUUUGUACCUGAUUUUGCUUUCACACUAUCACUGUUACCUGUGUGCAUUAUUAUGCUGCCCAACCCAGUAUUGAUUUUCAUAUUGUAUUUUAACAGAUUGGAGUUAGGAGCUUAUUCAGUCUCCUUUGGCUGCGUCCCAUGACUGUGGCAUAUGCUGCUUUUUAACCUUACCUUUGUUUCUCUGAGUCCCUUUUUUAAUAGCAGGAUUUACAACAGCUGUGUUUUUUCUUUACAUUUUUAUUUCUUUUCCUUUUUCCCAAGUGGAUGGAAAUCUUAGCUUCUUCCUAAGCAAGGUGAAGAAGUUUUGUAUGGCUCCAGCCACAGAGAUGCUGAGUAUUUGUUUCUCUUUAUUUGACUAGAAAACAGAGUAUCUGGCAAUGGCUGUUUGUUUAUAUGGUGUGCUUGGGUGUGAGGGGCAAAGCAAGCAGAUUUACAUUUACGUUUCUUUAGUACUUUUUUCUUGAGCUCCCACACAUGAGCAAUAGCCCUGCAGGGUAGGGAGGGAGUAAGAUAUGUGUGUUGCUCUUUAUUUCACUGUAAACUUCGCUCUCAUUACUAGAACUUCUCCGGGGAAGACAAGCUCUGCUUUACCAUUGCUGGGAGUAUAAAUCACUCCUAAUUAAUACCACAGUUGAGCUGCCUGGAAAGGGAGGCAAAACUCAUACGCUUUGGCUGUGUCAUUCCAGUAAACCUGUAUGAGAGGGAGGCCAGACUGACAGCCUCCAGGCUCUGUGCCCUGGGGCAGAGACAAGGGUUGGUAUCAGGAUGAAGUUGCUCAAGCUUUGGUGAAGUUGCUCAAGUUCUGACCCAGAUACCAGCUGUCCAUGACAGUUCCUGACCUGUGGAGCUCUCAAAGGAGGAGCACAAGGCAGAUAUGAGGAGGUAGGUACAGCACCUCUCCAUUUUGUACGUGAGGUUUUUGAGCAACACACUUUGCCAAAGGUUUUGUGAAGAAUCUGCAGAACUAGGAAUUUAUUAGCCCUUGCCCAUCUCUCAGGCUGGUGCCAGAAGCAGACAGGUAGUUUGCUAAAUGCUUCAGCCCAACUCCUUGAAAGUAUGCCUGCAUUCCCAUGAAACCAGCAAGUUCUUCAGUUUAGAAUGCAUUUAUUUUUAAACUGUACAGGCAGAGCCUACAUGUUUUGACAAAGUAGCGCCAGAGCAUUGAGUGCCUUGUAGAUCCUUAGCCCUAACUGACUGCUCUCUGAAAGCACUGCCUCAGCCUCCUGUAGCCUCCCAGACAAUGCCUCAGAGAGUGCAUAGUGCCUUUUUCAGCCUGGCCUUGCCCUUUUUAGCUUAAAUCAAUAGCAAAGACAAAGAUAGAGUGCAAAGGGAAAGAAUUCAGAAUGAACAGUGCUCACUAAAUAGACAACCCACAUGUGAAAUGUAGGAUUUUAAAUGCAAAUGCCUUCAUCUUGUCUUAUCAGAGCAAUUGAUUUAGCCUCUGUGCUACACAGGUUGAAUUUAAAGGUUGCACGGAUAACUCUGAGCUGACACCAGUAUUUACACAGGACAGCUGAUGAUGCAAUGUUGUAGUUGGCUUCAAGGAAAGGUCUUAACCCAGGCAGAAUGGAGUCCAUCCCCACCAAGGUUUUACUUUCUCAUCUUUAUUUCUCUCCUGUAUGAAGUGUAGGCAGUGAGCACUGAGCUUGGCAUCACAGCACAGUGGAGCAGGAAGUAAUGGGGAUUUCCCUGAUAGCCUCAAGGUCACAGUAAUGAACAUGCAGCAACUUGAGAAAAAAGCAGCACAUAGAAGAAUGUCAGAAGGUCCUGUCAUCCUGGCUGUCCUGCAACCUUGUUUGUAAGGUUAAAUGGCCAUCUUUCCUUCAAGAGAUGUGUGUAUAGGAGACGUUCCUGGUUUUUAUGACAGUGCUAUGAAGAAUGUCAGUCGUUCUGAGUUGCCCUUUGCACUGCAUCACUGUUCUGAGCUUUGGAAGUGAUUGCAGGGCUGGCUCAAGCUCUGUUGGCUGUGCCUGGGGUUAAAGAAGAUGCUUUGGCCCUCAGAACCCAGCCUGGCAAGAUGGGGGCAGGUAGGCAUGAUUUCCUCUCUGUUGUUCCCUUUGGGUUCCAGAACUUCCAAACAAGGCUGAGAGAGGGGAAGGGAGACCGAGGUUAUCUGAGCAUCUUCUCAGGCCAGUUACACACACGACAAUUACCUCAGUGUAAACAGCCCAUCGUACUGAGAUGGGGAGAGCCUUUUGAGCCUGAGGAGGAUGCUUUGAAGUGCCUCUGCUCAGAGAGUGCCCAUUAAUGCAGGGAAUUGCACCGGCCGCAGCCCUGGGCUGCGUUGAACGGAGUUGGGCUGCGGUGCCUAUUGAGCUGGGUGGGAUGGCUGUUAGGUGCCCUCGGUAUGACAAAGCGGUCGUUAACAUUCCAGCAGCGAUGGGGCAGUAGCCAGUAGCAACGCUUGCCUGCCUCGGCCAGCCCAGCUUGCUGCCGCUAGCGGUGCUAUAAGGGCACUUGUCUCCUGUACGUGAUAAAAUUCCACUUUCCUAGCGGUAUCUGCACGAUUUCUCGCAUGUUCUGUAGAAUAAUCCUAGCAAGUCACACCGAGGUUAAUAUAAAUGUAUCUAUCUCUCAGCAGGGAGGAGGAUUAUGUCAAUUUAGGCUAAUAGCUGCCAAAUAAUAGACAGAUGCUCUUAAAUUGGUUUAAUUCCCGUUCGUUGGCCCUGACAAUGGCGAGCAAAGAUAAAUAUACACAAAGCAUUCAAAGCUCGGGAUGUUAUGAUGCUAAUUGAAAAGUCACCCAAGGAAGCCCUCACGGUCUGUGGGAACCUCGGUGCACGGGAUUAGCGGCUAAUUAGUGGCUAGGAACUAUCUCACCCCGAGCACAGGCACCUCUGCCCGUCUAAUCAGUUCUUGCCCUUGAUACCAGCAAUAAAGAAACUGCUGUGGGCAGCAGGCAGUGUGAUGGUAGGAAGAUAACAUAGUGUUAGCAAUGUAACGAAGUCCCCCAUAAUGCACAGAAGCAGUGUCAGAGAUGCUUGCUGUGUCUUUAGCCACAGCAAACAUAAAGGUGUUUGAGGCCUGAGUUCUCUUUCCCAUCCCUUUUUAACACAUGCACAAGUUUUGUUUUAUGACUUUUUACCUCUUUCAUGUCGUGUUUGCAGCAGGUGAGAGAACACAGUCUGCAGACCCUGAGCCUCAAACCCUGCUUUGGACUCUGCAGUGAGUGCACACAGGCAGUCACAGCCCCUUCCUUGCACGGUGCUUUAGAAUCAUGACAUUUAAAAAACAUAUAAUCCAUCUGUCAGCAUCUCAGUAGUUCCCUCUCAAGCUGUUCCUUGAUGUACAACUGAAGAAUCAAAGAGUUCUUCAAAUAACUUGCCUGUGUUACGUGAACCCAAGGGCUCAGCCUGUGGAAAAAGAAAGAUUUGCAAAAUGGUACAAAUCAGUUGCAUCACUGGUACCACUGAACUAAUCAGGGCUUUGUUUAAUGAGGGUUGCAUCUAUUUUGCUCAAUUAUUUUCCACUGGUGAGAAUCCUUCAUUCAUACUUUCAUUCGGGAAUGCUGGUUUUGGAACUUUAUGGAAGAGCAUGUUUUCUUGUUCUCACAUUUGCUUUUUCAAAUCUUAAACAACAAUUUAAAGCUGUAUUUACAGUUACACACCCUCUCAAUUAAAUCAACCGGUAUUGCACUUCACAAAGACACCAAGUAGCAAUAGCAGGGAGGUUCACUUGUGAGCUUUAGAGGAGCUAGAAAGCUUUUUUUUCCUGUGUUACCAGCUCUGAGUAAUGCUGUUUUGCACAAGCUGGAGUCAGAAGUGGGUAAUGUGAAGAACCCAUGCUGGUAGGCAGUAACUUGCAGUGCGUGGGCUGAUGGCCUAAGUCAGCUCUUCUGGCAAUCAGCAGAUGGGCACUUGUAGCCUGGUUUCCUUAAUCCUCCAGUUGACCAGCCUUCCAGACAGCUAACUCUCUUCUUCAGCUGCUGAGAAAAAGCUAAAUCAUAGAAUCGUUUAGGUUGGAAGGGACCACUGAGAUCAUCCAGUCCUACAGCCAACCCAUGCCCGCUGACCAUGUCCUUCAGUGCCACAUCUCCACGGUUCUUCCACCACUUUCAGGGACAGUGACUCCACCACCUCCCUGGGCAGCCUGUGCCACUGCCUCACCACUCUUUCUGAGAAGAAAUUUGUCUUCAUAUCCAAUCUGGAUCCCCACUCUCCAGUACAACUUAAGGCCAUUACCUCUUGUCCUGUCACUAUUACAUGGGAGAAGAGGCCAACCCUCACAGUCAUCCACAGUCUCCCCAAUGAGAGCUAACAAAGGAAGAGGACCCCCUUCAUAUAGCAGCUAUGUUGUAGAAGUAAUGAUCUGGGAAGAAGAUUGGGAAAAGCAAACAGACUUUUAGGCAUAGAAGUUCUUCUACAGGUCUGAAAGAAACCUCAGACUUCAAACUAUUUUGCUCCCUCACAAAAUCCUUAGGGAAAAGAGAGACAACAGCCCUGGGCAGCCACCUCUGCUGUGGAUAAGCUGCCCAUCUUGCAGGGCAGCCCAGAGAACCCAGCUGCUCUAGGAGUCCUAAUAGCCUUUGUGGAGCAGCAGAUUCCUGAAAUCAUGCUCAUCGUUCAGUACGUUUGUCAAAACAGGAAUAAUAUUUUUUGGCCAAGCUAUUUCUAACUGGUUCUAGGUGGGUAUUAGUAAUAAUACAGCUGUCAGCUUUCACACAGUGUUUUUUAAGCAGAAGUGCUUUGUAUCUUUUAAGGUAUCUUCCCUUUUAUCUUAAGCAAAAUACCUUCGGGAACCAUUAGUAAUGAUUUCAGGCACUCCUGGACAGUAGAAGCUUGAAGAUACAGAGUGCAGCAACCCAUGCAGCAUAGGAACCCAGUGACAGGGCUGCAGGCUGGAAGGCACUCUGUGCCAGAGCCUGGCAAGGAGCAAGGAGCAGAUCAGACAGCUUGCUUAAUCCCGCUGUGAAUUGAAAAAGGAGGAAUCCCAAAUCAAAAAGAAGGAGAGAAUCAUAGAGAAGAAACUGCAGAGGAGUUCCUAAUUUCUGUAGGAAUCUGUGGGUGACACACUGGGUCUGCAGGAGCCCAGAGCUCAGCUCAGCUCCUUCAAACCUGGUACCACAGCUGUAACUCUCAGGAUCUCCUCUGAGCAAAUCUUGUGUCAUUUAGGGAAGGUGCUGGGAUGAGCUGAAGCUGUGCAAGUACAGCUGUUCUCAUGUCAGCUAAGAAAAAAUAAAAAUCAGUUCAAAGCAUUAGCCUGUUCCAAAAAACAGUUCUCAUUCCAGAGCUUCUGUUAAGUUGAAAAACAUAUAUUUAAAUGCAUCUUCAAAUAAAGUCUAAAAACCCAUUUGCUUUUCCAGUGGUGUAAUGACUGCUUUUGCCAGGUUACUUCCAAUGUAGAAUUCGCCUACAGUCUGAGGCAAUGCCUGGGAGAUCCAAGCAUUCUGGAAUAACUGGGAUAAAGUUGAGGUGAGAGACGGGUCAGAAUCAGGUGUACCAUGGAGGUAUCUGCAGCCUUUGUGGGGAAAGAUUACCAUCUUGCUGGGGAGAUCAUGUUUCUGUUAUUACCAAUAACAACUGGUUUCUACCACUUACUCUCCCCUCUCUCUUUGUCGGGUAGGCCCUGACAGCUGAGGGACUCAAUGCACCACGCAGGUGAAGCUGUCACAUUACGGGCUCAGAAGUGCCGUCAGGUGGUGUCACGUGUGUGGGGAUGUGUGGUACCACGGCCCUGGUCACAGAGAGCCUGCAGUCCGAGCCAGGAGCCUGCAAGAGAGGGGCACAGAAAAGCAGUGACACCUGCACUGUUUUUAAUGGGAUUUGUAGCUGUGGGGUUUUCUUUUAAUGCACUUUGACGUGGAUGCACGUGAAAUAUAUUACCACAAGAGCAGGCUGCCUCCUUGUGAAUGCUGCUGCGGGGCAACGUCUGUUCUGCAGAGGUAGACACGGGGAGUGAGCGUUAGGCGGAAGCAGCUUGGUUGGCACCGUUUUCCCUCUGUGGCCUUUCAGGAAGCUAACAUCAGCCAUCUUCACAGACUGUGCGACCGUAACAGGCCGCUGCCUGCGCCCGGGAGCACAGACCCUCUUGCUGCAGUCAGCAGAGCAAGUCUGAACUGGGUGCAUGGAGCAGGAAAUGCCAGUUCGCAGCCCUCCCACGUGGCUCCAGGCUGCAUGCACACUCACUUUUCCAGCCCCUAGAGUUUGUAGAUGUUAAUCCCUUCGCCAUCCAGAUGCCGUUUUGGGAUCAGCAUAGCAUGCUGUGAUCUUGGAAGGCCGCUCGCGUGGUGUGGGAGCCGUCGCACACACCGUGUGCAUUGGGUGCCUGCUGUGCCCUGCUGCAGGUAUCGACGUGUAGGAGAGCUUCGUCACAACAAAUAGCCGAACGCUGAGCUUUUUUUCCACCCGUCAUACUUUCUGAUCAGUCUCAGUGAAAAUCAGUGGGGCUGCAGAAAGGUUAAAGUUUUGCAAAUUUAGGAUUUGGUGGGAAUAUGUGCUUGUUUGGACUUGGCCCAAGAGCCUCAUUUACCUGUUUGACAGGUAACAAUUAGCGAGCAAUCGCUCUGCUGGCUGGAAUGUGGCUGCGAGGGCCAGCGGGCGCUGGGUUAGCGGGUGGGCAGGUGUGGGUGCAGCGCCCAGAUAGGUAUGUGCAUGCACAGCAUUCCUGGGAAUCAGCUUUCCCCUAAAGAUGGAGCGAUGACUGCAGGGCACAAAAGGGCUGGGCUUAGCUCAGGCUCCGAGAGGUGAGCUGUUUGCAAGGUAAAGAAGUAAGGUAAAUAGUGGGAUAGAAGGCGAGCUGACAAAGAGACUGGGGGAAGCAGCUGCCUCUUUUUUUCAUGGUCCAGCAAUAGGAGAGUAAAGGAAGGGCUUAUAGCAGGUCUGAGAAGCUCCCUUGGCACAGUAUAAAUGCAAAACGGGGAAACCAUUUGGCAGUCAGCUUAGAAACGGUUACGCUGCUGAUGUGCUCAUUCCUCAGUUCUGCCAUUAGCAGGAAUCCAAGUGCCAACGAGUUUAUCAAAUAAAACCGUUCCUUGACAAACAGCCCCGAUUCCAGCUUCUGCCGACAGCCCCUCCAGUGUCCCCCAGGGGGAACCAGCGUGAUAAGUGAUGGUGACUGUCAAGGAUGUGGCAGGUGUUAUACAACAUUUGAUACUUCAUCCUCACAACAGGUAUUUCGUACUUGACAAGCAAGCCAUUGUGUGACUGGAGAAGCCACAUCCUUCUUCCUGGUCUCUGUAGUUCCACCUGCAGAAUUAGAGUAGUGUGUCCCAUCUUCCUAGCCAGAGGAGACACGGAUAGUAAGUUACUAGUUACAUGCAUAUUACUGAUCUGUAUUUAUUUAUCCACACAGUCUUUCAUUGUAACCUUUAUUUCACAAAGAUGACAAAGUAUUUUUUUUUCAUUUUCAAUAAAAAUUGUGUAUUUUUUACUUAUAAAUAUCUUCUCUGGCUGAAAGGACUUGAUUCGUGGUGUACUGGUCAAUCUCAUUUGAGCAAGAAGAAAUCCAAGUAUAAUUAGCGACCAUUUACCUUGAUCUUAAAGGACUCAGCAUCACUUUGAGCCAUUAAACAUCAUUUGUACACUGUUAUUUACUCUGACCUUCAUUAAGAGGGAGUCUCUUUGCUCAACAGUGCAUGGGCCAAUAAGUGGUCAUUAAGUCUGACACAACAGCAGGGUUCGUAUUACUUCUCCCAAGCUCCUCAUACCACAAGCAAGCAUCACAGUAGCACCGAGGCAAGGACUGAUGCUGCUAUCCUCAACCCAAUGCCAGCAGAGUUUAACAGGAGGCCCCCCCUGCUGACACCACCCAGCACCACCUGUGGGGACCCUGCACCCACCAGUGGGCCGUACUGAUAGCAUCCCAGCCCCUCACCUCCCCUCAUCAUGUAACUGUGGGGCAGGCGGGCUGGGGGCAAUGUGGAUAAAGGUGUAGGGAGUGAAAACUGACCAUGCAUGCACGUGAAGAGCCUGUAUUAAAUGCAUGGUGUGCUUGCUCCAGAAAGGGGCCUAAGUCAUCAUGUCAACUGUGUUGAUGAGGGAAAGAAAAUAAAAGGCAUCCAGGCACCGAGGCAAGAAGUGAACAGUGCCAUUCCCUUCCCCACAUCUCCUAGUCUGCCCCAGACUUCCUCAGCUGGAGCUUGAAUCCACCUUGACAUUUCGAACCUCUAAGUCAGCGUGUUUUGCCAAGUUGUCUGAUCGCCAGUUGAACUCCUUUCUACUUUUGACAUCCAGAGCAUUAUGGUUUUUGUUUGUUUGUUUGAAUGUCUGCAGGAUGUGACAGUUACCUAGAAAAAUCACUUUGUCCCAGUAGCACCCCUUGUUAAUGUCAAAGAGAGCUGCAUGGAGAGGCUGAGCUGUGGUCAGCACUGAACUCUGUGCUCCUCUGGUGUCUGGAAAUGGGAAAUGUACUUGUAGAGAGACCAACCUCGGGGGCAAUGAAAGAGCAUUUCUUCACCCUUCAUUUUUUUUAGGAGUGUGAACACAAGGAAUUUAAUCUUUCCAUUUGGUUACUGCUGCUCUCUGCUAUAUCAGCACAGCCGCCAGAGCCGUUGUAAACAUUUGAAGAGUGGCAUUGAUUAAAGGUGACUCAGGAACAAAUGUGAUAUGAAGAAUUUGGAAAGAUUGGAAGAACAGCCAGUGUGCCAAAUGCUUUUCUACAUGGACACCUAAAGGGGUGAAGAAGAGGAUGGUUUGGGAGUCACCCUUCUCACUUCAGCUGUGCGGUCAUAGUGACCUCUUGUCCUGUUUGGAAGUACACACUGACAUGAAGGGCCAUCAUCCCACCCGUGCAUGAAGCUUGCAGUGAGUCAGCCCCUGCAUGUUACAAGGCACGGUGGCUCCAGCUGCUAUUUAGGCUCUGUACAAAGUUUGACGCUACUUCAGGGCGGAUAUGGGGACUCCAGAGAAUAUGACAAGGGCUGUGUUGUUCAUAGGUAACUAGCAAUAAGGAGCCACCAGAUAAAGUGGAUCAGAGAUGACAUCUGAAAUAGGGUGAGAGACUCACCCCAGCAAAACAUAUUCUAGAAGAGCAGUGUUGAAAAAGGACCAACUCAAAGGAAUUCACCGCCACGGGUUAUUCCCAGGCAGCACUACCCUACGUGAGAAGUAACAGAAAACACAUGACCUUACUCUCUGUGAAGUGUUUGUGGAGCUUUUGUCGCCAUAGCACCGAGUCACCAGAUACAGAAAGGUCCCUCCCAUGAUUCAUAACUGAACCCACAGUGGCUGUUGCUAUUUUCUGCAGUCCUUCUCACUCUGCAGUGGGUGGCAGCUGAGUGGAGCGGUACUGAACACUCGUUGGCCUCUCCCUCUUCCCAGUGCCUUGCAAACAACUCCCAGUUCUCAGCAGCUUUUUGAGCUGUUCUGGGAACCUGAGGAGAGCAGGUGGUUCGGUGGUCAUUUCAUACAACCAUAGGUCUGGUCAGAGUAAGGACACAAAGCGAUCUGCGUGGAAGGACUUUGGGUUGAGUUGGCAAUCACCAGACUUCAGCUCUUUGUGAAGAAGUUUUCUGAAAUAGUCUGAGACUUACAGAUUAAGAACUUUGUAGCCAAAAUACUUCUGCUACAUGUGACAGUAACAAUAGAUAAAAAUACAAUAUUUGUCCAAUCUGCCUUCAUAUUUAUGGACAUGAGCCACAUUUUCUACCUUCUGACGCUGGUUUGCCCUGAGAUCCCAACAUUAACUGGAGGUCUUUUCCAACCUUAAUGAUUCUGUGAUUACAUUUUCCCACAUCACUAGUGAUAGGACAAGA